UUCGCCCUUAGAGUUUGAUCCUGGCUCAGAACGAACGCUGGCGGCAUGCCUAACACAUGCAAGUCGAACGAGAUCUUCGGGUCUAGUGGCGCACGGGUGCGUAACGCGUGGGAAUCUGCCCUUGGGUUCGGAAUAACUUCGGGAAACUGAAGCUAAUACCGGAUGAUGACGUAAGUCCAAAGAUUUAUCGCCCAAGGAUGAGCCCGCGUAGGAUUAGCUAGUUGGUGAGGUAAAGGCUCACCAAGGCGACGAUCCUUAGCUGGUCUGAGAGGAUGAUCAGCCACACUGGGACUGAGACACGGCCCAGACUCCUACGGGAGGCAGCAGAAGGG
rnacentral:rRNA from 1 species